rnacentral:misc_RNA from 1 species
GAUGAAGAACGCAGUGAAAUGCGAUAAGUAGUGUGAAUUGCAGAAUUCAGUGAAUCAUCGAGUCUUUGAACGCACAUUGCGCCCCCUGGUAUUCCGGGGGGCAUGCCUGUCCGAGCGUCAUUGCUGCCCUCAAGCACGGCUUGUGUGUUGGGCCUCCGUCCUCCUCCCGGGGGACGGGCUCGAAAGGCAGCGGCGGCACCGCGUCCGGUCCUCGAGCGUAUGGGGCUUCGUCACCCGCUCUUGUAGGCCCGGCCGGCGCUUGCCGACACAUCAAUCUUUUUUCCAGGUUGACCUCGGAUCAGGUAGGGAUACCCGCUGAACUUAAGCAUAUCAAUAAGCGGAGGA